UAGGGAAUCUUCGGCAAUGGGGGCAACCCUGACCGAGCAACGCCGCGUGAGUGAAGAAGGUUUUCGGAUCGUAAAGCUCUGUUGUAAGUCAAGAACGAGUGUGAGAGUGGAAAGUUCACACUGUGACGGUAGCUUACCAGAAAGGGACGGCUAACUACGUGCCAGCAGCCGCGGUAAUACGUAGGUCCCGAGCGUUGUCCGGAUUUAUUGGGCGUAAAGCGAGCGCAGGCGGUUUGAUAAGUCUGAAGUUAAAGGCUGUGGCUCAACCAUAGUUCGCUUUGGAAACUGUCAAACUUGAGUGCAGAAGGGGAGAGUGGAAUUCCAUGUGUAGCGGUGAAAUGCGUAGAUAUAUGGAGGAACACCGGUGGCGAAAGCGGCUCUCUGGUCUGUAACUGACGCUGAGGCUCGAAAGCGUGGGGAGCGAACAGGAUUAGAUACCCUGGUAGUCCACGCCGUAACGAUGAGUGCUAGGUGUUGGAUCCUUUCCGGGAUUCAGUGCCGCAGCUAACGCAUUAAGCACUCCGCCUGGGGGAGUACGACCGCAAGGUUG
rnacentral:rRNA from 1 species